rnacentral:lncRNA from 8 species
AUGAUGUGGAACAGUCAACCUGCUGCGUAUUGGUCAUCGAGUGAUUUCGACAUAUCUUCCGAUGAGGGAGAACACGAGGAACGUGACAGAAUUACCCACCAACAACGGACCAAGCAGCAGAGGAAGGAGCAGCACAAGGAGAGGCACCAGGAGAAAAGCUAUCUGGAGUCAUGGACUUGGGAGGAAAUCCUGGACGGGAAAGGACCAUGGACUCAAGCUGGCGAUUAUCGCCGCCCACAGUGGGAGAUCGAGGCGGCGAGAGCUGAGAGGCGCUGGUAUGAGGAGAGGGAGCGCAACGGACACGGGAGGCAGCCCCACAAUUUUUUUGGGGGGGGGCACACGGGGAGAUUGGCGGAGUCAGGUGGUAGACCUAAGCCAACUCCCCGUGCUUACCGGAAGCAGCGUGGUACUGGUAAGACACCGUGUUAUGCUGUGGAGCGCACGGUGUCCCCAGUGCGCGUUCAAAGCCCGGUGCGCUACAUACCAGCCCCCCGCAAGUGCCAUGCGAGUGCAGGCAUCGGGCCAGGGCGGAUGGUGCCAGCUCAGCGCGUCUGGUCUCCAGUGCGCCUCCUCGGUCCAGGGUAUCCUGCGCCGGCGUUGCGCACUGUGUCUCCAGAGCGCUGGGAGGGUCCAGUUCGCCCAAUGCCUGCUCUCCGCCCGUGCCGGGCCAAAGUGGGCAUUCAGCCUGGAGUGUGGGUAAAGAGUGUCCGUACCAGAACUCCAGUGCUCCCCCACAGCCCGGUUUAUCCUGUGCCUCCUCCUCGGACCAGGCCUCCAGUGGGUCUCCCCAUCCUGGUUCAUCCUGUGCCACCUCCCAGGACCAGGCCUUCAGUGGGUCUCCCCAUCCUGGUUCGUCCUGUGCCACCUCCUCGGACCAGGCCUCCAGUGGGUCUCCCCAUCCUGGUCCGUCCUGUGCCACCUCCUCGGACCAGGCCUCCAGUGGGUCUCCCCAUCCUGGUUCAUCCUGUGCCACCUCCCAGGACCAGGCCUUCAGUGGGUCUCCCCAUCCUGGUUCAUCCUGUGCCACCUCCCAGGACCAGGCCUUCAGUGGGUCUCCCCAGCCUGGUGAGUCCUGUGCCACCUCCCAGGACCAGGCCUUCAGUGGGUCUCCCCAUCCUGGUUCAUCCUGUGCCACCUCCCAGGACCAGGCCUCCAGUGGGUCUCCCCAUCCUGGUCCGUCCUGUGCCACCUCCUCGGACCAGGCCUCCAGUGGGUCUCCCCAUCCUGGUCCGUCCUGUGCCACCUCCUCGGACCAGGCCUCCAGUGGGUCUCCCCAUCCUGGUUCAUCCUGUGCCACCUCCCAGGACCAGGCCUCCAGUGGGUCUCCCCAUCCUGGUCCGUCCUGUGCCACUGCCCAGGGCCAGGCAUCCAUCAUGUCUCCCCAGCCUGGUGAAUCCUGGGGCAGGGCCGUCGGAGGAUCCGACACCGGGGUGCGGCCCAGAGGAUCUGACACCGGGGUGCGGACCAGAGUAUCCGACAACCUCUUGCGACCCGGGACUGAGGGGAGCUGCCUGUGACCCAGAACCGGGUGAGUCUGGUCACAAUUCUAAAAUAAAGUUGAUUAACUAUGACUGUGAUGAUUCUGCCUACAACCCAGAACCGAAGGAGUCUGCUUACAGCCUGGGACCGACGGAGUCAGCCCACGAACCAGAACCAAAGAAGUCUGCCUACUGUCCUAAGCCCAACAGGUCUGUCUACGGUCUGUUGGACAGUAGGCCAGAACCGGAGCCACCUCCAAUAGAGGUGGGUUGGGGAGGGGGGGUGUAG